rnacentral:rRNA from 1 species
CACGCCGUAAACGAUGAAUACUAGGUGUAGGAGGUAUCGACUCCUUCUGUGCCGGAGCUAACGCAUUAAGUAUUCCACCUGGGGAGUACGGCCGCAAGGCUAAAACUCAAAGGAAUUGACGGGGGCCCGCACAAGCAGUGGAGUAUGUGGUUUAAUUCGAUGCAACGCGAAGAACCUUACCAGGGCUUGACAUCCUCGGCCAUCCCGCGAGAUCGGGAGUUUUGCGGCUUGCCGCAGACCGAGAGACAGGUGG